rnacentral:rRNA from 1 species
CUGAUCAGCCCUCCGCGUGAGUGAUGAAGGCCUUCGGAUCUGUAAAGCUCUUUUGGCUGGGAAGAAAAGGCCCCGGGCAAUACCUGGUCCCGCUGACCGGACCUGCCAAAUAAGCCCCCGCUUACUUCUUGCCCGCCGCCCCGGGAAUUAA